AGAGAGAGAGAGAGAGAGAGAGAGAGAGAGUUGAGUUAGAAUACUCUCAAAAGCACCAUGAAGGUGGUGCUUUUGAGUUUUUAAUCAUUGGAUGGAGAGAUGUGAGGUUGAAAUGAUAGUGGUAGGUGGUGGUAGGUAGAAUAGUAUUUGAUCCAAGGGCUAUUAGUAAUUAAGGAGUAGAUCCAAGGGCUAGAAACUUAGAAGCACCAAGGGGUUCGUGCUUCUAAAAGUAUUCUAGCUCAAUUCUCUCUCUCUCUCUCUCUAUAUAUAUAUGUGUGUGUAUGUGUGUGUUUCUCUACUUAUUUCUUCAAGAUUUUUGGGCUGUUGCUGCUUAGUUACUUCUAAAAAAUAUAUUAGGUAUGAAAAUAAUUAACUAUAAAAUUAGAAAUUAAAUAACCUUUUUAUUUUUCCUCCUCAAAUAGAGAGAGUAGUUGUUUGCAAAUUUCAUGCAGUUUGGUUGUAUAUUUUUUUUUAUCUAUUUUUAUCUCCUCGCUNAGGCUACGGAUGCACUGUUAUAGAGGGCGGUUGCACCAUUUCUCCUUUCGUAGCUCCUUCGCGUUGCACUAUUAUCCCUAUUGCGUUGCGCGCAGUAUUUCUCAAUAGCUUUAGAAAAUUUCGUAAAGUCUUAAAGCCGAACAGGAAACAGCGGGGCCGGCGAAUAGUGGAGGUGGAUGUGGUCCGAGUUCCGAGUAAUGAGCGAGGGAGGUUGCGUAAAACGGACGCGGCGCAUUUAAUGCGCGCCAGACCGUACGGCAGGGUAGUAGGGUAGUAUACGUAUGUCAAGAAAUACGCGGGAGGCUAUUGUAUAGGAGGGGCAUUUUGGUCAAGCGGCGGAAAAAGCAGACCGAAUCUGCAAAAAUGAAAAAGGUGGCCCAGUUUUGCAAAAGCCCAAAAUAAGUGAAUUUUUUAUGCAAAUUGGCCAAAUAAUUAACUAUAAAAUUAGAAAUUAAAUAACCUUUUUAUUUUUCCUCCUCAAAUAGAGAGAGUAAUUGUUUGCAAAUUUCAUGCAGUUUGGUUGUAUAUUUUUUUUUAUCUAUUUUUAUCUCCUCGUUAUUGUUGAAGAUUGAUAAGGCAGUGAUGAUAAAACAAGUGCAUCCGGUAAGGAAGGCCUUUUCCUAACACAACCGGUUGCGCUAACAUAGCUAAUGUAUUCAAUCCUACCUACCACUGAUCGUCUCUAUCUCUAUAUCUUUGAUUAGGAUUGGAUUGUUGUUUUACCUCAGCCUUUUCAUGUUCCUAUGAUUUUGGUUACAUUUAAAAAAAUUGUUUCUCUUCUCUACUUCUCUUAGUCCCUUUUGCUUUAUUUUAUUAUUUUUAGUUUCCACUAAAUAAGACUUUCAUGUUUUUUGCUCCCUACUCUUAUUAGUAAAUGAUUAUUUACAUUCUUUUCCCUUCGUUUCUUCACUCCAUGUUUUGUAAUAUUAAGAUGAGCAAAAUUAUAGGCAUGUCAUGUGCCUUCACUCUCAUCUAUAAAUUUUCAGUGUAAUUUUUUUUUCUAUUUUACCUCCUCACUAUUAUUGCAGAUUGGUAAGGCAAUGAUGAUAAAACAAGUGCAUCGAGUAAGGAAGGCCUUUUCCUAAGGCAACCACUUGCACUUAGCUAACAUAGCUAAUGUAUUCAAUCCUAUCUACCACUGAUGGUCUCUAUCUUUAUAUCUUUGAUUAGGAUUGAAUUGUUGUUUUACCUGAGCCUUUUCAUGUCCCUAUGAUUUUGGUUAAAUUUAAAAAAAAUGUUUCUCUUCUCUACUUCUCUUUCUUAGUUCUCUCUACUGGUUUUAAUUUUUUCAAUCCUUCUUUCUUAUACCCCUUUUGCUUUAUUUUUUCUUUUUGAGUUCUCCACAAAAUUUUACAUUUUCUUAUACCCCUAAGCUGCACAAA
rnacentral:lncRNA from 1 species